GAUGAACGCUGGCGGCGUGCCUAAUACAUGCAAGUCGAGCGAAUGGAUUAAGAGCUUGCUCUUAUGAAGUUAGCGGCGGACGGGUGAGUAACACGUGGGUAACCUGCCCAUAAGACUGGGAUAACUCCGGGAAACCGGGGCUAAUACCGGAUAACAUUUUGAACCGCAUGGUUCGAAAUUGAAAGGCGGCUUCGGCUGUCACUUAUGGAUGGACCCGCGUCGCAUUAGCUAGUUGGUGAGGUAACGGCUCACCAAGGCAACGAUGCGUAGCCGGCCUGAGAGGGUGAUCGGCCACACUGGGACUGAGACACGGCCCAGACUCCGACGGGAGGCAGCAGUAGGGAAUCUUCCGCAAUGGACGAAAGUCUGACGGAGCAACGCCGCGUGAGUGAUGAAGGCUUUCGGGUCGUAAAACUCCGUUGUUAGGGAAGAACAAGUGCUAGUUGAAUAAGCUGGCACCUUGACGGUACCUAACCAGAAAGCCACGGCUAACUACGUGCCAGCAGCCGCAGUAA
rnacentral:rRNA from 1 species